rnacentral:snRNA from 1 species
CUAUUCAUUUGGCAGAGAAGAUACCAUCUUCAUGAAGGUGGUUUUGCCUUGAAGAGUCUCCUCUGUUUCUCUCCAGAAGUGCUGACCUCUGCAAUUUUCCCAAAUGUGGGAAACUUGACUGCAGUACUUGGC